rnacentral:rRNA from 1 species
GACGAACGCUGGCGGCGUGCUUAACACAUGCAAGUCGAACGGAAAGGCCCUGCUUGCAGGGUGCUCGAGUGGCGAACGGGUGAGUAACACGUGGGUGAUCUGCCCCUUACUUUGGGAUAAGCCUGGGAAACUGGGUCUAAUACUGGAUAGGACCAUGCUGUAGGUGGUGUGGUCGAAAGAUUAGUUUCGGUAAGGGAUGAGCUCGCGGCCUAUCAGCUUGUUGGUGGGGUAAUGGCCUACCAAGGCGUCGACGGGUAGCCGGCCUGAGAGGGUGGACGGCCACAUUGGGACUGAGAUACGGCCCAGACUCCUACGGGAGGCAGCAGUGGGGAAUAUUGCACAAUGGGCGCAAGCCUGAUGCAGCGACGCCGCGUGGGGGAUGACGGCCUUCGGGUUGUAAACUCCUUUCAGCCAUGACGAAGCCCUUGUGGUGACGGUAGUGGUAGAAGAAGCACCGGCUAACUACGUG